GCAAGUCGAGCGCGAAAGCACUUCGGUGUGAGUAGAGCGGCGGACGGGUGAGUAACGCGUAGGAAUCUACCUAGUAGUGGGGGACAACCAGUGGAAACGCUGGCUAAUACCGCAUACGCCCUACGGGGGAAAGCGGGGGAUCUUCGGACCUCGUGCUAUUUGAUGAGCCCGCGUAAGAUUAGCUAGUUGGUGGGGUAAUGGCCUACCAAGGCGACGAUCUUUAGCUGGUCUGAGAGGAUGAUC
rnacentral:rRNA from 1 species